UCUGUUUCUCUGGAAAAUUCUAAUACAUUAAUUCUACAGUAAUUAGAAUAAAUUUUAAUACAGUAGAGAAAACUCUGUGUGUGUGUGUGUGUGUGUGUGCAUGUGUGUUGUUUAUGUGGGGGUAAGGGUAUGUAUAGACACUUUCUGUAUUUUCCACUCAAUUAUUCUGUAAACCUUAAACUUCUCUUAAAAAAAUAGUGUAUUAAUUAAAGAAAAAAUGCCUCUUCUGCUUGCUGUCAGGUGCAGGAUGAUGUCUAAGCACUCACCGUGUCCCCUGAAGCCACAUCUGCUGUGUCUCCUCCAAGUUUGACUCCAGCUCCAAGGACUGACCUUCCCCAACCCAAGACUUCCUCCAGGCUCCUCCCUCUCCAAAAUGCUCUCUCCAGAUCCUUGAAUGGCUAACUUCUAAUUCUUCAGAUCUCAACUUAGAUGUCUCCUCGGAGAGGCCGCUCCACCCCAAAUUCUCACUGUGCCCCACAGCGCUGCCGAGUCCCAGUGCCCCUGCUCAUGUGCACACCUGGGGAGGCUCUGUUGCUGCCCAAGACAGAGGUUCCAGGAAGAUGAGACCUUGUCCAACCCCUGGAGGACAGGAUCUCACUUGAAGACCUUGAGGAGGUCCUGGUGAAGCAAAUGACAAGUGAUCACACAUGCUUCAGAGACAGCUUCCACUAUGGAAGCAGCCCUGUCAAACCGAAUGCCCUGCAGAGCAAGGCAAGACAAACAAAUGCUCCUUAUGGCUAAAGUUGAAAACAUAGAUGAUGAGCAAAAGAAGGAAAAAGUCCGGAACCUCAUAUUCAGAAAUAACCACUGUCAGCAUUUUAAACUAUUCUCACCUUUUGUAAUUUCUCCUUUGGAAGUACCACAUGAAGACCUGACUUUUGGCCCAAGCUCUGCUGAGCAGGUCACCAUGGUAGACCUGGGACCUCCAGUUUCCUAUCUGUAGGUUGGAAAUCGUGGUGACUCUUAGUGUAGUUCACAGCACGCAUAGAAAGGCCAGUGCAAUGAUGCAGGUGGAAGUGCUCUAAAGAUUCUCCAUGGAUACACGUCAUCCUGGGGUGACAAUAAGGUGUAAGCAUGCAGCCUUUGCUGUGAAGUUGUCUGCAGAAACGUUAACUGACACAACUCCUCUCCAUUUUCUGAUUAAUGGGGGAAAAUAUGUAUAAGGGUUGAUGUAAGAUCAAUGCACAAUAUUUAAGUGUGCAAGCAAGCACAGGGAAGUCAAUGAAAGAUAUCAAAUUUUACUAAUUUUGAACAAUAAAAGACACUACUUUUCUUCAAGCAACACACACUCAAGCUCAUUAUGUGUUUCUACAGCCCUUACUCAGGGAGUGGCUGCUGGCAGUAGAAGGUGUCCUAAGAUGGAUAAAACCAUCUCUGUCGUCCUGGAUCUUGUAAUCUCUUGGAGAAAUAAGUGGCAAGCAUGCCACACAAGUGCAUGCCAGCUUCUCUCUAGGAGAAGGUGGUGCCAUUGAUACUCUCCUGAUAAUGGGUACAGGCCAUGCGUGGCAGAAAUAGAACCCACCCACGGCAGUUGCUCUUUCUCUAACUGGCUGCCUUUCCCUAGAGCUGCUCCAGCUGGGAAAAUCAGGGCCCUGGGCCACAGGCACAGGCUCCGGCUGAGCAGGAACACACUGUGAAGGUACUGAGGUUGGAUGCCAGUCCCCAGGACCACCUACUCGGUUUGUGAGUUGCCAAGCCCAUGACAUCUCCCGCAUGCCAUCUUCUUGGUCAUCCCACACCCAGUCAUCAGCGUGCUGGUAGCUCCUGUUCAAGAUGGCAGCCCAAACCUUGGGUGCCCAGAAGACAGCUUUAUAAGCAGUUUAACUGCAGGAGCUUCACCAGGUUCCUUUCUCUAUGUUCACACUGCACUCUGCCCUCUGAGGCUGUCACUGUAGUUAGAAAACACAGGGUCAACAGUCAAUUGGCUGUUGUAAUCCAGCCCAUUUGGAGACACGAAUAAAAGCAGCUCACUUGUUCCCAUCAACAUUCCAAGAAUGAGUGGUCAAGAGGGCUAGGGAUAAAAAUGGUAAUGAAAUCUAGCGAUGGAGCAUAGCUUGACUGUCAACACAUGGUGGGCACGUGGUUAGAUGGUUCUCAGGGAUUAACUCAAUGUGGGAACUGUGGGAAUGUGCUGGGGGAGAUCCUCUGGGGGCAGUGAACUUCUGAGGAGAUGCUCAGAGGCUGACGCCUCUAAGUCUGGAGGCUGGUGCUGGCAGUAAGUGAGACUUCAAGCCAUGGCCUCACGCUUUACCCCGUGGCUUUUCUACCCAUCCAGGAAACUACCUGGGGUAUGAACCACCUCAUUCUUACAGAGAAGGGACAUGCAGAUCAUGGGCUUCCAGCACCCACCUGGGUUCACACAGAAAGAACAGGAAGGUCAGGGGCUGGGCUGGGCUGGGUGUGAUGUGUCCUCCAACCCACUUAAUUAUUUAGAGGUUUUUUAAGGAAAAUAAAAAUAUAUCUUAGAGUUUGCAGAUCUGCUUAAGGGGGAAAUAAUUGUUCUCACCCAGGUGGAAUUUUGUCCCUGUAUCACAGGAUGGGCCUGGCCAUUUGUACCCAUGCAGCCCUGUUUAGCUCUGAACCCCGGAAGCUGAAAGUGAGAUGGAGAAAGGGUGGGCAUGGGAGUCAGAGACAAGGAGGACUUUCUUAAGAUCGAGUCCUCCACUGCUAGAGAGGUGUGCCAUGAGAGAUGGUAAAUUGCUAUUUCCUAGCAACUGUUACUAAGUAGAUUUUAAGCUCUGUGUGUAUGGAGUCAGAAUGUGUCAGGGGAGAACGGGGCAAGAGAGAAAGAGUGAAGGCGUGGGGGCAGCUGAGCAGUGAGAACCUCCAACUCUUGACAUUCUUCCUGACGGUAGAGGUUGGUAAGGGAAAUACCUGAGUUCUUUUCAUGUCCGGCAAAUAUUCCCAGCAUUGCUUUUGCUCAAGGUGACCUCACUCUUUCCAACUGACUCCUGGCACAGGAAGUCGCCUGGAAAUCAGACUCCGAGGCAGGGCUCUGCAUGGAAACCCUCUCAGAGGGGAAAGGCGGUGAGAACAUAUGGUCUCAUUGCCCAGCCCAGUGCUGAGUGGGGGAUUGUGUCAUCAUCCCCUGUUAAAGGACCCUCCAUUGCUGCCACAAAGGCACCAGAACCCCGCUGCAAAGGCCAAAGCCUCCAUGCAAGUGCGCCCAGGGGUUCUCCUCGGACAGUCCACCGCAAGCCCACAUUACCUUCACUACAGACCUCACGGAAAAGCAGCUCUUAGGUAUAAACAGCCUCUCUCCUGCCUGCUGACGCUUGUCCUUGAUAAAUCAAAACAUUACUAAAUCCGUGCUGAGGUGCACGAGCGACAUAAAGGGCCCCAUUGUUCCAGAGCAGCUGGCAGCACACACGCUCGCGGGGCCCAUUGUCUCCACGCAGGCACGCAGGGCUCACCCCGCCUGGUUGUCUAACCAUCCACCACAUACGCAGUGGCAGAGUCACCCCAGCCACAAGGGCCUCCGGCGACCCGGCCGGGUGUGUUAAGAUCUGUGAAUUAAGAUCUGUGUCGGGUUCUCCCCCUCACUAGGACUGAACUCCUUUAUUUCCAGUGAUAAUUGCUACAUAUGCUCACACAUGAUUUAUUGUUGUUGAUGGCAACGUAUCCUCAGAAAGUUUGCCAAAGGGCGUUGACUGUUAUUGAUAUGUACAUAAAGAUGAUAAAUGAAGAACUGUACCCACCAAAUUGCUACCAGUUAUGAUUAGUUAUCCCCUUGUUUUAUUUUGUGGGGAUUAGGAGAUGCACAAUCGCCCCGAGUGAUCCUAGCAUUCCUGUCUGGUGAGCACAGGCGCUGGAGGUGUUCUCACACGUGUACGGUGAUGCCAGGCAGCGAUCCGCAGGCGAUUUAAUAAAGACUCCAGCUCAGAUUUCAAAAGAGCCAGGCAGACACUCACGCUUUGGCAUACUUUGCAUUGCUGAGUUUGUGGAGUAGACAAUUCCACAUUUUGUCCUUUUAAUGAGUGUCUCUUAUUAUUUUAACUCAACGUUCCAGGCAAAUAAGGCACCAGCCUGUUGUCUUAAUAGGAUAACAUUUUUCUUAGAUUUGGUAAUCAGUUUGCUACCCCCAUUUACAAAGAUUGGACCUGUUUAGAGUCAGCUGGCCCAGCAGGGUGGGUGUCUUUGGGGGCAGGUAGAUUGCAUUAAAGGACCUAAGGACAGAGAGAUUGCAGCCUCCAUAGUUGAAAUCCCAAAAAGAACAUUGAGCUCACUUCAGCAGAAUUUCCCAAUGACUUUCUUUCAAAAAGGCCUUUCGACCUGAUGUCAGUCUUUAAGUGAAUCAGAGACCAAAUAAGAGCUAAUGAUGCCUGGU
rnacentral:lncRNA from 1 species